rnacentral:lncRNA from 1 species
GCUGGACAUAGCUGCACAUGGCUGGACAUAGUUGGACAUGGUUGGACAAAUGUGGACAUGACUGGACAUGGUUGGACAUGGAUGGACAUAGCUGGACAUGACUGGAUUUAGCUGGAUAUGGUUGGUUAUGGCUGGACAUGCACAUACUCAUAAGUCUAGCACUGGGGAGAUAGAGACAAGCAGAUCCACAGAAGCUGCCAACCAGCCAGUCUAGUGAAACCAGUGAGGCACAGGUUCUGUGGAAGACAUUAAUGCCUUGAACAUUAAAGCUAAGGUAGGAGACAACUGAAAAAAAUAUCUGCUGUAAACCUCUGUCCUUCACACCCACACAGACACACAUGCAUCUGCAACUGCACACACUUACACACACGCAUCAAUAUACGCUGGUGCACACACACACACAGCAAAC